ensembl:snRNA U6 U6 spliceosomal RNA
GUGCUCACUUCGGCAGCACAUAGACUAAAAUUGGAACAAUAUAGAGAAGAUUAGCAUGGCCCCUGUACAAGGAUGACACACAGAUUUGUGAAGCAUUCUAUAUUUAA